CGGCCCCGCCAGGCGCCCGGGCCCUUUGCACGCGGCGCCCCGCUCUGCGCCGGCCUCCCGGGGAGGCGCGCGGGGCGUUUUGCACGCGGGGCGUUUUGCACGCGGGACGUUUUGCACGCGGGGCGUUUUGCACGCGGCGCCCGGCUCUGCGCUGCGGCCCGGCGCGCUGCCGGCGGGAGGUUUGCACACAGCGCUCUGCUCCUCGCUGUGCAGAGCGGGGCAGCGCGGCCGAGGUUUGCACGCAGCACCCUGCCCUCGCUCGGCGUCCCGCGCCCGGGGAGGUUUGCACGCGUCGCCCCGGCCGGGCGCAGCGCAGCCUGCACGCGCCGUCCGCCCCGGGCCGCGCGCCCGGCYCUGCGGGGGUCGCCCUCGCCCGCACGCCGGCACCGUGCGCAGGGGCUCCGCACCCGCCCCCUCCCCGCGGCCGCAUAAGGAGGAGGCAGAGGCCGCGGGCAGCAAACCGCCCGCCUGGCCGAGGGGCCCCGUGCCGCAGCGCUGCGCCAGCCAUGGACCCCCGGGACUGCGCCUGCGAGGCCGGCUGCUGCUCCUGCUGCCCGGGUGGCUGCAAGAACUGCGCCGCGGGCUGCAUCUGCGAGGACCCGUCGUCUCCAAGAUGUACCUGCUGUCAGUGACGCGGCUGGCGGCUUCCCGCUCCCWUGGGAAUAUUUUCUGUGUGAAAAUCCUGGUUUUGUAACUUUUUCACCGGUGUGGUAGCUGCCGUCAGCCUCGGCGCGCCUGGGCGUAGCGCGAAGGUGAUGGGAAUAAAGGCUUGAUGCAAGACGUGGAUGCGGGGUUU
rnacentral:lncRNA from 1 species